rnacentral:rRNA from 1 species
AAAUGAAUAGACGGGGACCCGCACAAGCGGUGGAGCAUGUGGUUUAAUUCGACGCAACGCGAAGAACCUUACCAGGUCUUGACAUCCCUCUGCCGUCUGUAGAGAUACAGAUUUCCCUUUUGGGACGGAGGAGACAGGUGGUGCAUGGUUGUCGUCAGCUCGUGUCGUGAGAUGUUGGGUUAAGUCCCGCAACGAGCGCAACCCUCGUCGUUAGUUACCAGCAUUUUAGGAUGGGGACUCUAACGAGACUGCCAGCGAUAAGCUGGAGGAAGGUGGGGAUGACGUCAAAUCAUCAUGCCCCUUAUGACCUGGGCUACACACGUGCUACAAUGGGUGGUACAAAGGGAAGCGAAGCGGUGACGUGGAGCAAAUCCCAAAAAGCCACUCUCAGUUCGGAUUGUAGUCUGCAACUCGACUACAUGAAGUCGGAAUCGCUAGUAAUCGUGGAUCAGCAUGCCACGGUGAAUACGUUCCCGGGUCUUGUACACACCGCCCGU